rnacentral:rRNA from 1 species
GAUGAACGCUGGCGGCGUGCCUAAUACAUGCGAGUCGAGCGAACAGAUGAGGAGCUUGCUCCUCUGACGUUAGCGGCGGACGGGUGAGUAACACGUGGAUAACCUACCUAUAAGACUGGGAUAACUUCGGGAAACCGGAGCUAAUACCGGAUAAUAUAUUGAACCGCAUGGUUCAAUAGUGAAAGACGGUUUUGCUGUCACUUAUAGAUGGAUCCGCGCCGCAUUAGCUAGUUGGUAAGGUAACGGCUUACCAAGGCAACGAUGCGUAGCCGACCUGAGAGGGUGAUCGGUCACACUGGAACUGAGACACGGUCCAGACUCCUACGGGAGGCAGCAGUAGGGAAUCUUCCGCAAUGGGCGAAAGCUUGACGGAGCAACGCCGCGUGAGUGAUGAAGGUCUUCGGAUCGUAAAACUCUGUUAUUAGGGAAGAACAAAUGUGUAAGUAACUAUGCACGUCUUGACGGUACCUAAUCAGAAAGCCACGGCUAACUACGUG